CAUCGCUUGGGGCAAAAUGCCGUCCGGCUGAUGAGAAAAGAGAGUCCAGAAAAGUGGUGUUGAUUAGGAAAACAGUCGCAAACAAUAGGCAAACAAUCUGCAACCCUCCAUAUUGCCUCAAAGCAUCCAAUUAUCCACCGUGUCCACUGCGGGGUGUUCGAGCCACUUGGUGCAGGUCUAUUGAGUGUGUCCCACGUUUGCCGGCUAGCUACAACAGAGAGAUGGAGGAGCGCACCGGAACGGAAAGAGUGUACGGCGGUUGCGAGGGACCGGACGCCAUGUACGUCAAGCUGAUCUCUUCCGAUGGCCACGAGUUUAUCGUGAAACGCGAGCAUGCCCUCACCUCCGGUACGAUCAAAGCAAUGCUGUCCGGUCCGGGCCAGUUUGCCGAAAAUGAAGCCAACGAAGUGAACUUUAGAGAAAUACCUUCACAUGUUCUCGAAAAGGUGUGCAUGUACUUCACCUACAAGGUCCGGUACACGAACAGCUCGACGGAAAUACCGGAGUUUCCGAUCGCACCGGAAAUUGCGUUGGAGCUACUAAUGGCGGCCAAUUUUCUCGAUUGCUAGGCGCUAGUGUUUUAGUUUGUUUCCGUCAUUCUAAGGCAAGGCAUAUACAACCACACAACAACACCACAUCCAGCGAACACUUACUAAAACCGAACGCACCGGGAGCUUCAAAAUGACGACCGAACCGACACUUCUCCUAGUCUUGUGGAAGAUGGGUGGAAUGUUCGGACCAAUACUCUUGUUCUCUUACCGUUGAACCUUAGGUUUAAUGUGGCCGGCGAAAUUCGUCUGAUGAAAGGAAACUUGCAGCAGUCAGCAGCAGAGAACGAAGGCUUUGCUUUUGCUCGUGAAAGAUCUUCCCGAAGCGUAUAAAUCAAUUAAGGCGCAACCGCAGCACGGACAACACGUCCGGUAGCGGCAGUAAAGUCAACGGCGGACCGUAUAUUUGUAUGUUAGGUUUUCAUUAUUACCGUGGAAAAUAAAAUAGGGCAAAAACAUGAU